rnacentral:rRNA from 1 species
UACGAAGGGGGCUAGCGUUGCUCGGAAUCACUGGGCGUAAAGCGCACGUAGGCGGCUUUUUAAGUCAGGGGUGAAAUCCUGGAGCUCAACUCCAGAACUGCCUUUGAUACUGAGAAGCUUGAGUCCGGGAGAGGUGAGUGGAACUGCGAGUGUAGAGGUGAAAUUCGUAGAUAUUCGCAAGAACACCAGUGGCGAAGGCGGCUGACUGGUCCGGUUCUGACGCUGAGGCGCGAAAGCGUGGGGAGCAAACAGG